rnacentral:rRNA from 1 species
CAGGCGCGAAAACUUUACAAUGCUGGCAACAGCGAUAAGGGAACCUCGAGUGCCAGGUUACAAAUCUGGCUGUCGUGAUGCCUAAAAAGCAUUACAUAGCAAGGGCCGGGCAAGACCGGUGCCAGCCGCCGCGGUAACACCGGCGGCUCGAGUGGUAACCGUUAUUAUUGGGUCUAAAGGGUCUGUAGCCGGCCGGAUAGGUCUCUUGGGAAAUCUGGCAGCUCAACUGUCAGGCUUUCAGGAGAUACUGUCUGGCUCGAGGCCGGGAGAGGUGAGAGGUACUUCAGGGGUAGGGGUGAAAUCUUGUAAUCCUUGAAGGACCACCAGUGGCGAAGGCGUCUCACCAGAACGGACCUGACGGCAAGGGACGAAAGCUAGGGGCACGAACCG